ACAGCCGUUGCAGUUGUUGUUUUUGUGUUUGUAGGUUCUUUCGGCUCCAUUGAUGCUUUCUUGAUGGGUUUGAUUUGUAGACUGGUGCGACAUAUUAGCCAAGAAGAUGUUAUUUCUUUACUCAUUGAUGAUGCACAAAUGGAGCGAAAGUAAAAAGAAAUUCCACAGCUCUUGGAAAAGUCCUUGAAGGUUAAGGAGAACGAACUUUUGAGAUGUCACCAGUUGCUUUGGUUUUGGUAUCAAGAUCCUGAAGUUGAUUGGAUGGGGAUUUCUAUGUUUGCUAUAUGGACCAGGUAGAAGCCAGAUAUAAUAAAAGAGAUAUGGAUUUAAUCGGACCAGUUGUUUUAAAUCUCUACAGAACAUAUGGGAUUUGUAAGCGACGGAUGUGGUGGCAAAGAUUCGAGCGAUUCAUAUGAAGAUUUUAGGGCUUCAAUGGUGGAAUUGUGUGAAAAGUGCUUUUGCAGAGAGAUCAAGUUUAAUGGAGGAGCUUAAUUUCUGGUGGCAUGGUGAAAUAGCUUCUUGCUCA